rnacentral:rRNA from 1 species
UACGUAGGGGGGCUAGCGUUGUCCGGAAUUAUUGGGCGUAAAGCGCGCGCAGGCGGCUUUGUAAGUCUGUCGUUUAAGUUCGGGGCUCAACCCCGUAUCGCGAUGGAAACUGCAAGGCUUGAGUACAGAAGAGGAAAGUGGAAUACUCGGUGUAGAGGUGAAAUUCGUAGAUAUCUGGAGGAACACCGGUGGCGAAGGCGGCGUCCUGGACCAACACUGACACUGAUGAGCGAAAGCCAGGGGAGCAAACGGG